CAUGUCCGGUCCCUGGCUGGAUGACACCCUGGCCUCACCCUGUCUUGGUCCCAAGCAGGGUACUUCCCCUUUGGCUUUGCAGUCCCCUCUACCAAAGCCUUGGAGAAGGCCCAGAAGGCACUUGGAGGGAAGGCAGAGAUUUCCUGCUAGGCCCACUCACCUCUGCCCCAAAGGUUCUCAGAGAAGGGGGCUGAAGGGAGGGCCCUGCUCUGUAUACAUUCGAGUCUUGCUCUGGGUGCUCUGAUGCAGUCUGGUAGCUUGUUUGGUAAAUAAUGACAUUGUUAUAAAUAUUUAAUAAGUCAAGGGACUGCAGUGCAUGAAAAAUGGAUGAGGUCCCUGUGUGGGAAAUGCAGGCUUCACUACGUAUGCUCUGGAGGAGGCAGUUAGAGUCUGACGUCUGCUCAGGCUGACACCUGUAUUUGUGGUAGGGCUGAUGAAUGGCCAGAGAAAUAUUCUCCAUGUUUAGGAAGCACCAAUCCAUCAUGCUAGAGUUUAGGCUGAGGGAGGAAUUUGCAACCAUCAAUAUUGCCUGUGUUUAUUAAGCAUCUCGUGCUGCGGGAGACAGCGAGUCCCGCAUUGGUCCUGGGAGCAGCGCCUCUGGAAAGGGCAUGGUGGCUCCUUGAUGAAUGACUUUAAUAAGAAGCAGCUUGGAAGUACCUUCAAGGUUAUAGAAGUGGAAAUGGCUGCCCCCUUCCAGCAACAGAAAUGCUCCAGUGCGAUGUUUUUGUCACAGAUCUUGGAGCCGGACUGCCUGGGGUCAGAUCCUACCUUUAUCCCUGCGUGACCCAGGGCAAGUUGUUUAGCAAUUUUUAUGUCUCUGCUUCAUAUAUUUAAAGUACUUAGAGGCCUUCUGUUGUUUGGUAUUAAUUGGAUUAGUGAUUAUGAUUCCCCUUGAUCAUCAUCCAACGGGAGUGGAUGAGGGAGGCCAUGGAAUACAGUGGCCUGCCUUUGUGCAAUACUGAAAAAUUCAUGUGACUGGAUCUUUGGAGUAGGAGUUAGGAAAUUGGCCUCGGGGAAAACACUACAUCCAUCCUCUUCUGACUUGUUGGUCUACAGGAGAAAACAAAUCCCUCUCACCUCCCUUAGGUUUAUGACAUGAACUGGCACCAUCCCAGCCAGUGCCCAGCCAGACAUUACUCUUUCAUGAGGUAGAAAGGAACCACCCUUUUCUGUCUUGGGGGAGGUUAGUAGUAUUCUCAAUGUGGAAGCACUGGCUUUCUUUCCUUUGAAAUGUUAGAAUCCCAUUGGGAAUUUUUAGAAAAGAAUAUUCUCCCGGAGAGACUGAUCCAGCUGGUCGCAGGUGAGGCCCGGAUGCCUGCGUAUUGUUAAGGUUCUCUGGAGGGUUCUGAAGUGCAGCCAGGGUUGAAGACCUCUGGUUGGAGGGCGUCUAAUACUUGCAGUAUUCAAGUCUAGAGUGUACUUCCUGUUAAACAAGGGAGGAGGUGAUGAAUAAGUCAGGAGACUCUGCAGGAGGCAGGUAGGACUGAUGAUAAGAUCAAGAAAGGCCUGUGCACUUCUGUAUACAAGGGUUGUUACACGAUUUUUCAUGGGAAAUGGAUGAUUAACAUGGUUUUUUAAAAAGUGCAUCUAAAAUGGCUGGAGUUUGGGAAAACACUGUGGUUUGGGACUGGGUGGGCCAUCAGUUUGCUUGCUGUGGCCCAUGAAAUAGGAGGUUCUGUCGAG
ensembl:lncRNA